AGCGAACGCUGGCGGCAGGCCUAACACAUGCAAGUCGAACGAACUCUUCGGAGUUAGUGGCGGACGGGUGAGUAACACGUGGGAAUGUGCCUUUUGGUUCGGAAUAACUCAGGGAAACUUGUGCUAAUACCGAAUGUGCCCUUCGGGGGAAAGAUUUAUCGCCAUUAGAGCGGCCCGCGUCUGAUUAGCUAGUUGGUGAGGUAACGGCUCACCAAGGCGACGAUCAGUAGCUGGUCUGAGAGGAUGACCAGCCACACUGGGACUGAGACACGGCCCAGACCCCUACGGGGGGAAGCAGGGGGGAAUUUUGCGCAAGGGGCGAAAGCCUGACGCAGCCAUGCCGGGGGAAUGAAGAAGGGUUUAGGAUUUAAAAAUUCUUUCCCCGGGGAGGAUAAUGACGGUACCCGGAAAAGAAGCCCCGGCUAACUUCGU
rnacentral:rRNA from 1 species